CACUGUCACUCCUACGGGGAGCAGCAGUGGGAAUAUUGCACAAUGGGCGCAAGCCUGAUGCAGCCAUGCCGCGUGUAUGAAGAAGGCCUUCGGGUUGUAAAGUACUUUCAGUCGUGAGGAAGGCGGCGUCGUUAAUAGCGGCGUUGUUUGACGUUAGCGACAGAAGAAAGCACCGGCUAACUCCGUGCCAGCAGCCGCGGUAAUACGGAGGUGCGAGCGUUAAUCGGAAUUACUGGGCGUAAAGCGCAUGCAGGUGGUUUGUUAAGUCAGAUGUGAAAGCCCGGGGCUCAACCUCGGAAUUGCAUUUGUAAACUGGCAGACUAGAGUACUGUAGAGGGGGGUAGGAAUUUCAGGUGUAGCGGUGAAAUAGCGUAGAGAUCUGAAGGAAUACCGGUGGCGAAGGCGGCCCCCUCGGACAGAUACUGACACUCAGAUGCGAAAGCGUGGGGAGCAAACAGGAUUAGAUACCCUGGUAG
rnacentral:rRNA from 1 species